AAGUUGAAGAUAUAAUAUUACAUUUACCUCGUAAGUUUUUGGAUGAAUUGGUGAUUUAACAUGGUCUAGAGUGGAUAGUUUAGGAGGCUGUUAGGCCACCAUUGUUGUUUACCUAUAAUAGAAGAAAGAAAAAUAAGGCACGUUAGGAACCAACAACAGUUACUUAAAAAAGAUGACAGUUAUCUAAAACUGGAAGUUAAAUGGAUGAGAGGGAGGUGGGAAAGGGCAGGCAGUUUUUAGUAAAAGGAAGGGCCUGCAAUACUCCAUGAGAGAUAGGGGAAGCAGAGGGCUCACGAUCUUGUUCUGGUUUUAAUUGUAGUAUUUUGAAUUGUGUUUAUUUGUGUUUUGGAUUAGGAGGGUUUCUUUGCUUGUUGUUUGUAAUUUCUCUGUAAUUUUCUUAUUAUUGUAACUUUGACUUUCAAAUAUCAAUAUAAUAGGAAACAGUAGAUCAGUGUUCUAACAAGGUUGUAUGUUCAAAAGUGAGUAGAUAGUUGAGGAGGUCCAAUGUUCAAAAGUGAGUAGAUGGUUUAGGAGGGUCCUAUGUUCAAAAGUUUGCUGGUGUGUAUCUUUGUUGGCUCGACAUGUUUUUAAUUUAUGAUUGUUGUUGGUGGAGAGAGCGGAAGAUGCCGGGGACAGUUUGGAGAAGAUCAAGCGGCAGCUGGCCUCUGGGUCUGGUCGGAAUUUGUUGCAGGGUCCCCUUCUAAAGCGAUCUGAAACAGACAAGACUUUUAGGUAAAGCAAAUCCUGGUUUUCCAAUGUCAAAAGGCCUUGGCCGCUUGCAGAAUAGUGACCUUGAAGAAUUAAGAGAAUUGGGGUCCGGCACCUUUGGCACUUUUUACCAUGGAAAAUGGAGGGGACUGAUGUUGCUAUAAAACGAAUCAAUGAGAGGUGUUUUGCUGGGAAACCUUCUAAACAAGAUCGCAAGUGAGAAGAUUUUUAGAAUGAAGCAAUUAAGUUUGCUGAUUUGCACCACCCAAAUGUGGUACUUUUUAUGGUGUCGUGCUUGAUGGGCCUGGGAGAUCUGUGGCCACAGUAACAGAAUAUAUGGCCAAUGGUUCGCUCAAAAAUGCUUUGUUGAAGAAUGAAAAGAGUCUUGAAAAGUGGAAGCGCCUCUUGAUUGCUAUGGAUGCGGCUUUUAGAAUGGAACACCUGCACAGAAAGAAUAUUGUGCACUUUGAUUUUGAAAGUGAUAAUCUACUGGUCAAUCUUCGAGAUCCUCAUCACUCAAUAUGCAAGCCAAGAGUGAAGAUUUCCCUACGCAACUUUUGAUCCUGAACGAACCCGACGCAUUCGGAGGUAGUAGGGAGCUGAUUCCUAAGAAGUUGGUUAGUGUUCUUGUUCUGAUUUUUUUACCUUCAGUUAACUACGUUGUUUCUGAAGAAAU